GUUUGUUUGUUUGUUUGAUGAUGGUGAUGAUGAUGUUUGUGGAAUUGCAACCAGUGGCACAAGGAACCCGGAAGACUUGGACCUUUACUCACAUUCAGCCAGAAAUAGUGAUGACCUUCCUGCAAGUUGUCCAUGACUAUCAUGAGAUGAAGGUUUGAAGAAAAAGGAGGAGGAGGAAAGGCUAAAUAAAAGAAUAAUAACAACAGCAACAACAACAGUACUUGACUCAUUAACAUUUGUACUUCAGCCUAGCACACAAGCAUACUGUAAGUUGGACCAGAUCCAGAAAGGGGCAAGAAUAAGCACUUGUCAGAGCCUCAGGACCAGCCGCCAAGCGAUGGAGAGGGACUCUGGUGCCGGUCUAGGACUGCAGAAAUCUAUCUUCAGCACUCAGCAAUGAUGCUCAUUAGGUGACACCUGGCAGAUCACUUUCUUCCAGCCUAUUCUACAUCACAGGGUGGUUAUGACAAUAAAACAGAGGUGAGAACUG